GAUGAAGAACGUAGCAAAAUGCGAUAAGUAAUGUGAAUUGCAGAAUUCAGUGAAUCAUCGAAUCUUUGAACGCACAUUGCGCCCGCCAGUAUUCUGGCGGGCAUGCCUGUUCGAGCGUCAUUUCAACCCUCAAGCACAGCUUGGUGUUGGGACUCGCGUUAAUUCGCGUUCCUCAAAUUGAUUGGCGGUCACGUCGAGCUUCCAUAGCGUAGUAGUAAAACCCUCGUUACUGGUAAUCGUCGCGGCCACGCCGUUAAACCCCAACUUCUGAAUGUUGACCUCGGAUCAGGUGGGAAUACCCGCUGAACUUAAGCAUAUCAAUAAGCGGAGGA
rnacentral:misc_RNA from 1 species